GAGACCGGUCCCUGGAAGGAGAGACCGGUCCCCCAGUGAACAGUGUUGUGGCAGCCCUGAGGCAACCGGACCCUGACGGGCGAGACCGGUCCCCGAGCGCGCCUUCGCAGAGAGAGAUCGGUCCCACGCAGGGAGAGACCGGUUCCCGAAUGUUGGUUUUUCGGGUUCGCAGCGAGAGACCGGUCCCUGCUCGGGAGAGACCGGUCCCUCUGGGCGAAAACUGCCCAGGCUAUCUUUAUGUCAUACAUUAACUCUAGUAUUCUUUGUGGCCACUUUGAUGCUAACUCUAGCCUUAUCUUCUUUAUGCCACAUUGGUUCUUUUUGAUGCCACACACUAACUCUAGUAUUCUUUGGCGUCAAUCUUUAUGAUAACUCUAGCUUCAUUCUCACAUUUCAUUGUCCUCAUGUUCAUAUGUCACUUUCUUUAACUUCACUAAACUCUUAAUCUUUUUACAUGCGCAUAUAGGGUUAUUACCGUCACGCCCCGCCCCGAGACCGCGUACCAAUUUGGUCCGGUCGGCGCGCCGGCACGACGCCGAACGGACAGCACCUCCCCUGUCCGCCCAAGGCUCAACACAGGAUCAUGUACAAAGAAUUUGCCCAGGGAUAAUUCAAAUACAUACACAUCCAACAAGGAGAGAAGCACAAAGAGUUGCCAAUACAACAAGAGCAAGUAACACAAGUUACAUACAAGUGCAUAAAGAGAGAUCAUCUAGCUAUUACAUCACAUUCACUUUUACAUCUUUGAUUACAUUUACAUUUUCAUCAUUACCCAAAAUGAAUACAUAUUCCACUCAUAUGCUAUCUAGGUACAAUGUACUCUCUCCAAAAUACAACCAUGUCACCUAUGUACACGAGAAGUACUCUAGUACAAAAGGAAAGCCACAACUAGCUAGCUAGGGCGCUACGCCUUACCGCGAUCCUCCCGCCGAACGCUCGCACUCGGCUGCAACAGAUGGGGUAAACUAUAUAAAUAUAGUUCCAGUUAGGUUCGGGCCGCCGACUCCGCGAUCUUUCCCACUAGGUCUAAGCGUGGCACAGAUAGAUAGAGAGUAUAUAUAGAAAUGAAACUGCGCCAUAUACUAUACUAUGCCAUCAAAUGCAAGCAAUGCAUGAAAUAUCAUCUAGCAACAAGCCUACUAUCAUGCUAGUAUGCUUCAACAUGUAAUGAAUACGAUACAACAUAGUUAUGCAAUCCACUAUCAUAUACUAUGUUUAACCAUGGGAUGAAUAAGAAAUCACUAUAUCAUAUCCAAUUCACUACACCUCCUUCCGCCUUAAGAUCUCAAAUCUCAUAGGUACUCACACCACAAUCAUAGUAGAGUGAAGAGGUGAAGAGCUACCCCGCUCUUCACCUGAUUAUACCUCAAAUCUCAUAGGUGAGGAGCUACCCCGCUCCUUAUCUCACCCGUCUCACAUCUCAAAGGUCAUAGAUGAAGAGCUACCCCGUCUAAUCUCAUAGAUAUUGAGUUGCCCCCGCUCAAUCUCAUAGGGAAAGGCUACCCGCCCUUCAACCCAACGUCACGUCCGAGCUCCAAUGAGUGAGGAGCUACCCCGCUCGUAUCCACCCGAUGAGCUACCCGCUCAAUGAGCUACCCCGCUCGUGUGACAACUCCGGAGUGCACUGCUUGUGGUGGAGCGACCACCACAAGCUCAAAACGCAGGGACUAUGCUGAGCAUGAUCCAAUCCUCGCCAACUGAGGAUACCCUGUGUAACACACUGGACUUUGCAAAUUGCGAGGUUCGAGUGUUUGAUGUAUUUUGAGCUUUCCACACUUGGUGGAGGUUGGGGGAAUGUUUUUCGACUAAAAAGUUCGAAAACUGGGAUUCUAUACUUGAUAGUCUCCUUUUGCAUUAGAGCAUACUUGGUUGCCAUGACAGAACUUAUGCAUAAUAUAUUCAUAAAGGUUAAUGACUUACUCUUUUGAUAUCGUAGAUGUACAUCACCAUGACAUCGUUUAUACUUGAGUUUCGUAAUUUAGCAUUUUAAUUAUGCCUUUAUAUUGCAGUCAUUAUUGCUAUUAUUAUUGUACUUACCCUUUUCUUUUAGGGCCUAGUGGUGCAUAGAGCUGAGGUCAGUAAUUGCCCACUGGGAACUAUAAAUUAUAGUUCUCACGCCCUCUUUUUCUCGAUGUUUUUCAGAGCCUUCCACGCAGGGAGAGGCUAGGGAUCGCGGAAAGGGUAUAGCCUCGGGCUAGCGCGCUUACCGAGGGAUCGUUCGAUAGGUGGUCUACCUCUCGUGUUUUCUUUUUGUGAGAGGUUGAGAGUUGUACCCGUAUAUGUAUAGAGACCACCAUUUUUGUACUAGAGACGGUUAUUGUACUACUUAUGGUUAUUUUUGUUUGACUAGCUUUAUUUUCUUUACUUUGGUAUAGAUGAUAGAACUUGCUCUGAUAUCAGUAGUUGCUAGUUAUUUCGCUACUUUUAUUUGUUCUAUCUCCUACUUUUACUUCCGCUUUUAGUGUAGACGCCUAAUAUGUGUAGACAUAUGGCAGGUCUGGGCACGCUACCGGGAGGGCCUCCGCCGGUCCCGGGGCGUGACAGACUUACAUUAGCGCUAAGCUUUCGGUUCAACAACAGGAGGAGCUGAAAGCAUUGCUGAAGGAGUACAAAGACUGCUUUGCCUGGAGUUAUAAAGAAAUGCCAAGGUUGAGUCAAGAAAUUGUAGAACAUAGGCUACCCAUUAAAAAGGGUUUCAAGCCUUAUAAACAACCGGCUCGUAGGUUUGAGCCGAGUAUUGUACUCCAAAUUAAGAUUGAAAUUGAAAAUCUUUUGAAGGCCGGUUUUAUUAGAGCUGCCCAUUAUGUUGAUUGGGUAUCUAAUAUAGUUCCAGUACGAAAAAAGAAUGGUAAACUUAGAGUUUGCAUCGAUUUCAGAAAUUUAAACUUAGCUACCCCAAAAGAUGAGUACCCUAUGCCUAUAGCCGAUAUGUUAGUAGAUUUGGCUACUGGUAACGAAAUCCUGUUCUUUAUGGAUGGACAUGCUCGAUACAACCAAAUUUAUAUUAUUGAGGAUGAUGUAGCUAAAACGGCUUUUAGAUACCCGGGAUCUAUUGGAACCUUUGAAUGGGUAGUCAUGCCGUUCGGCUUGAAAAAUGCCAGAGCUACUUAUCAAAGAGCGAUGAAUUUUAUUUUUCAUGAUUUAAUCGGCAAAAUGUUGAAAGUUUACAUCGACGAUAUAGUUGUAAAAUCCAAAUCACGAGCCGGACAUUGGGUUAAUUUAAAGCUCGCCUUUGAAAGGAUGAGAAAAUACAAGUUAAAGAUGAAUCCCUUGAAGUGUGUGUCAUGCCCUGGGACCGAUGCCAAUUUGGGCCGGCCCGGGCACGUCGAACAGACGCCGAACGGACAGAGUUUUCCCUGUCUGCCCAAGGCUCAUCACCUAUACAUUUUCAAGUAGAGUAAAGCACUAGUGGAAACAUAUACAAACGGCUUACACGAGGGUAAGCAAUAGCCAUGAGUGAAAGAAAGGAAGCUAACUACUACAUAAUUACUAUGAUUCAAUUUGAUCAUAUACAUUUCAUUCAACUUUCACAUUCUUUGCAUCAUUUCAUUUUACAUCACAUUUGCUCAAAAUGAAACAUUACAUUCUUUUCUCUCAUUUGCUUUAUACAUAAACAUCUUCAAAUACAAAAGAAGAUACAUGGUAGGCUACUAACAAAAUGUAAACCCGACUCGGGUAGUCACUGUCUAUGGCGCGAUACCUUUACAACGGUCGCUCGCCGGCUCGCUCGGUCCCGGCUCUGUGGAAAUAGUGGGGUGAGAACUACAACGAAGUUUCCAGUGGGUUUGGUCCCAAUCUCACCGACUUUCCCACUAGGUCUAACUCAGGCAUAAUAGAAAGAAUAAGCAGAUAAGUAACCAACUGUACAAAUGCAACUAAUAUGCCUGAACAAUAUGAUAAAAAAUGAUGCUCAAUAUAACUCAUGAAGAAUGCAUGGUCUUUGUUCUUUGUUCUUUAUUCUUUGUUCAAUCUCAAGGCUAACACGGGGAUAUCGCCUCAUUAACUCACCAACUCAAAAUCCAUGAUCGUAGGCCCUCAGCUUCCUCCCGCUAGGACCGUCCUCUGGGGAAUAGCACCAAUCCAGUGAUGACAAACUCCGGAGCGCAUCGCCCGAGGGGGAUCGACCACCCUCGAGCAAGAACUUAUAGUGAGUAUGAUCAAUUCUUAACUCUAAGGAUAUUCAGUUCAAUCUGUUCCUUAACUCUAAGGAAUUUAUGCACAAAUGACCCUUAACUCUAAGGUUGAAUGUUAUUGUGUCAAUCUCAUAUUAUUUGCAUUCUUUAUCUUCGACCAUGUCAAUACACUAACUCUAGUGUUCUUUACAUUCUUUGCUAUCAUUUAUGUCAUACAUUAACUCUAGUAUUCUUUGAUGCCCCACUUUGAUGCUAACUCUAGCCUUUAUCGUUCUUUAUGCCACAUUGGUUCUUUUUGAUGCCACACACUAACUCUAGUAUUCUUUGGGUCAAUCUUUAUGCUAACUCUAGCUUUCAUUCUCACAUUUCAUUGUCCUCAUGUCAUAUGUCACUUAUUCUUUAACUUCACUAAACUCUUAUAUCUUUUUACAUGCGCAUAUAGGGUUAUUACCGUCACGCCCCGCCCCGAGACCGCUACCAAUUUGGUCCGGUUCGGGCGCGCCGGACGGACGCCGAACGGACAGCACCUCCCCUGUCCGCCCAAGGCUCAACACAGGAUCAUGUACAAAGAAUUUGCCCAGGGAUAAUUCAAUACAUACACGAUCCAACAAGGAGAGAAGCACAAAGAGUGCAAUACAACAAGAGCAAGUAACACAAGUAUACAUACAAGUGCAUAAAGAGAGAUACAUCUAGCUAUUACAUCACAUUCCACUUUUACAUCUUUGAUUACAUUUACAUUUUCAUCA
rnacentral:lncRNA from 1 species